rnacentral:rRNA from 1 species
AAAAAUGCACAUAUUGUGAGCUCGAUGAGUAGGGCGGGACACGUGGUAUCCUGUCUGAAUAUGGGGGGACCAUCCUCCAAGGCUAAAUACUCCUGACUGACCGAUAGUGAACCAGUACCGUGAGGGAAAGGCGAAAAGAACCCCGGCGAGGGGAGUGAAAAAGAACCUGAAACCGUGUACGUACAAGCAGUGGGAGCCUCUUUUAUGGGGUGACUGCGUACCUUUUGUAUAAUGGGUCAGCGACUUAUAUUCUGUAGCAAGGUUAACCGAAUAGGGGAGCCGAAGGGAAACCGAGUCUUAACUGGGCGUUAAGUUGCAGGGUAUAGACCCGAAACCCGGUGAUCUAGCCAUGGGCAGGUUGAAGGUUGGGUAACACUAACUGGAGGACCGAACCGACUAAUGUUGAAAAAUUAGCGGAUGACUUGUGGCUGGGGGUGAAAGGCCAAUCAAACCGGGAGAUAGCUGGUUCUCCCCGAAAGCUAUUUAGGUAGCGCCUCGUGAAUUCAUCUCCGGGGGUAGAGCACUGUUUCGGCAAGGGGGUCAUCCCGACUUACCAACCCGAUGCAAACUGCGAAUACCGGAGAAUGUUAUCACGGGAGACACACGGCGGGUGCUAACGUCCGUCGUGAAGAGGGAAACAACCCAGACCGCCAGCUAAGGUCCCAAAGUCAUGGUUAAGUGGGAAACGAUGUGGGAAGGCCCAGACAGCCAGGAUGUUGGCUUAGAAGCAGCCAUCAUUUAAAGAAAGCGUAAUAGCUCACUGGUCGAGUCGGCCUGCGCGGAAGAUGUAACGGGGCUAAACCAUGCACCGAAGCUGCGGCAGCGACACUAUGUGUUGUUGGGUAGGGGAGCGUUCUGUAAGCCUGUGAAGGUGUACUGUGAGGUAUGCUGGAGGUAUCAGAAGUGCGAAUGCUGACAUAAGUAACGAUAAAGCGGGUGAAAAGCCCGCUCGCCGGAAGACCAAGGGUUCCUGUCCAACGUUAAUCGGGGCAGGGUGAGUCGACCCCUAAGGCGAGGCCGAAAGGCGUAGUCGAUGGGAAACAGGUUAAUAUUCCUGUACUUGGUGUUACUGCGAAGGGGGGACGGAGAAGGCUAUGUUGGCCGGGCGACGGUUGUCCCGGUUUAAGCGUGUAGGCUGGUUUUCCAGGCAAAUCCGGAAAAUCAAGGCUGAGGCGUGAUGACGAGGCACUACGGUGCUGAAGCAACAAAUGCCCUGCUUCCAGGAAAAGCCUCUAAGCAUCAGGUAACAUCAAAUCGUACCCCAAACCGACACAGGUGGUCAGGUAGAGAAUACCAAGGCGCUUGAGAGAACUCGGGUGAAGGAACUAGGCAAAAUGGUGCCGUAACUUCGGGAGAAGGCACGCUGAUAUGUAGGUGAAGCGACUUGCUCGUGGAGCUGAAAUCAGUCGAAGAUACCAGCUGGCUGCAACUGUUUAUUAAAAACACAGCACUGUGCAAACACGAAAGUGGACGUAUACGGUGUGACGCCUGCCCGGUGCCGGAAGGUUAAUUGAUGGGGUCAGCGCAAGCGAAGCUCUUGAUCGAAGCCCCGGUAAACGGCGGCCGUAACUAUAACGGUCCUAAGGUAGCGAAAUUCCUUGUCGGGUAAGUUCCGACCUGCACGAAUGGCGUAAUGAUGGCCAGGCUGUCUCCACCCGAGACUCAGUGAAAUUGAACUCGCUGUGAAGAUGCAGUGUACCCGCGGCAAGACGGAAAGACCCCGUGAACCUUUACUAUAGCUUGACACUGAACAUUGAGCCUUGAUGUGUAGGAUAGGUGGGAGGCUUUGAAGUGUGGACGCCAGUCUGCAUGGAGCCGACCUUGAAAUACCACCCUUUAAUGUUUGAUGUUCUAACGUUGACCCGUGAUCCGGGUUGCGGACAGUGUCUGGUGGGUAGUUUGACUGGGGCGGUCUCCUCCUAAAGAGUAACGGAGGAGCACGAAGGUUGGCUAAUCCUGGUCGGACAUCAGGAGGUUAGUGCAAUGGCAUAAGCCAGCUUGACUGCGAGCGUGACGGCGCGAGCAGGUGCGAAAGCAGGUCAUAGUGAUCCGGUGGUUCUGAAUGGAAGGGCCAUCGCUCAACGGAUAAAAGGUACUCCGGGGAUAACAGGCUGAUACCGCCCAAGAGUUCAUAUCGACGGCGGUGUUUGGCACCUCGAUGUCGGCUCAUCACAUCCUGGGGCUGAAGUAGGUCCCAAGGGUAUGGCUGUUCGCCAUUUAAAGUGGUACGCGAGCUGGGUUUAGAACGUCGUGAGACAGUUCGGUCCCUAUCUGCCGUGGGCGCUGGAGAACUGAGGGGGGCUGCUCCUAGUACGAGAGGACCGGAGUGGACGCAUCACUGGUGUUCGGGUUGUCAUGCCAAUGGCACUGCCCGGUAGCUAAAUGCGGAAGAGAUAAGUGCUGAAAGCAUCUAAGCACGAAACUUGCCCCGAGAUGAGUUCUCCCUGACUCCUUGAGAGUCCUGAAGGAACGUUGAAGACGAC